rnacentral:rRNA from 1 species
GACGGGGCCGCACAAGCGGCGGAGCAUGCGGAUUAAUUCGAUGCAACGCGAAGAACCUUACCAAGGCUUGACAUACACCGGUAACGCCCAGAGAUGGGUGCCCCUUUGUGGUCGGUGGACAGGUGGUGCAUGGUUGUCGUCAGCUCGUGUCGUGAGAUGUUGGGUUAAGUCCCGCAACGAGCGCAACCCUCGUCCUAUGUUGCCAGCGGGUCAUGCCGGGGACUCAUGGGAGACUGCCGGGGUCAACUCGGAGGAAGGUGGGGAUGACGUCAAAUCAUCAUGCCCCUUAUGUCUUGGGCUUCACGCAUGCUACAAUGGCCGGUACAAAGGGCUGCGAUACCGCGAGGUGGAGCGAAUCCCAGAAAGCCGGUCUCAGUUCGGAUUGGGGUCUGCAACUCGACCCCAUGAAGUCGGAGUCGCUAGUAAUCGCAGAUCAGCAACGCUGCGGUGAAUACGUUCCCGGGCCUU